rnacentral:rRNA from 1 species
CGCGGCCUAUCAGCUUGUUGGUGGGGUGAUGGCCUACCAAGGCGACGACGGGUAGCCGGCCUGAGAGGGUGUCCGGCCACACUGGGACUGAGAUACGGCCCAGACUCCUACGGGAGGCAGCAGUGGGGAAUAUUGCACAAUGGGCGCAAGCCUGAUGCAGCGACGCCGCGUGGGGGAUGACGGCCUUCGGGUUGUAAACCUCUUUCACCAUCGGCGAAGCCGGGAGCUUUUGUUUCUGGUGACGGUAGGUGGAGAAGAAGCACCGGCCAACUACGUGCCAGCAGCCGCGGUAAUACGUAGGGUGCGAGCGUUGUCCGGAAUUACUGGGCGUAAAGAGCUCGUAGGUGGUUUGUCGCGUUGUUCGUGAAAUCUCACGGCUUAACUGUGAGCGUGCGGGCGAUACGGGCAGACUGGAGUACUGCAGGGGAGACUGGAAUUCCUGGUGUAGCGGUGGAAUGCGCAGAUAUCAGGAGGAACACCGGUGGCGAAGGCGGGUCUCUGGGCAGUAACUGACGCUGAGGAGCGAAAGCGUGGGGAGCGAACAGGAUUAGAUACCCUGGUAGUCCACGCCGUAAACGGUGGGUACUAGGUGUGGGUUUCCUUCCUUGGGAUCCGUGCCGUAGCUAACGCAUUAAGUACCCCGCCUGGG